rnacentral:rRNA from 1 species
AUACGGAGGAUCCGAGCGUUAUCCGGAUUUAUUGGGUUUAAAGGGAGCGUAGGCGGAGGAUCAAGUCAGCUGUGAAAUGUAGACGCUCAACGUCUGCACUGCAGUUGAAACUGGUCCCCUUGAGUGCGUAAGGGGCAGGCGGAAUUCGUCGUGUAGCGGUGAAAUGCUUAGAUAUGACGAAGAACUCCGAUCGCGAAGGCAGCUUGCCGGGCCGCAACUGACGCUGAAGCUCGAAGGUGCGGGUAUCGAACAGGAUUAGAUACCCUGGUAGUCCGCACAGUAAACGAUGGAUACUCGCUGUCGGCGAUAUACGGUCGGUGGCCAAGCGAAAGCGUUAAGUAUCCCACCUGGGGAGUACGCCGGCAACGGUGAAACUCAAAUGAAUUGGCGGGG